rnacentral:lncRNA from 1 species
AUGAUCGAUGUAUUGAGCCCACGCUCCAGAAUUUAUACGCUUGAAAUGAACGUCCUCGCUUGCAAAUGGUCCCCGGGACUUGACCCUCUCUUCAGCGUGCCUCUUGAGGAGCCGUCUGCACAGCUCAGUGUACAUGAAAACCUCCUCGGUCCUAGAAAAACCUUUGAGUGUGAAGUUGAUUUUCGACACACCUCAAAAAAUUCAUUUAGCACCAGGUGGAUAGCUUCUCUGACAAGAACGGGAAGCUGCUUUCUAUAGAUUCACUGCAAAGCUGUGAUUGCCUAGAGGUUGCCAGAGGAGAGAACGCGGUCCCCGGGAGGUAAGGCAGCAGAGGAACCCAAGGAAGGAUGGGACGCAGCUGCAUGGAAAUAGCUCCCCAGCUGGUUUCGAGUCUUGAAUGUAACAAUUUGUCUCCUCUUUGAUAGCUGACCCUGCCUGUCGAUUUUCUCCAAACAGAAGUAAAACUCGAAUGGGGAAAAAUUAAAUGGAAAAAACCAUUUUUCCUUUCAAAAUAUUCAUAGAGAGAGGAGGAAGCGUGUACUUAGAGAGCUAAAUACAAUGUUCCUCGUGGGCGGAAUUCCACCUAAUACUGCCAUUGUGCUUGCUGCUUAGCAAGCGCACCAAAAGCACACUGCAGAUCUUGAGGGAAUAACUGCUUUGAGUCAUUUUAUCCAUUUAUUCACUUAGUAACUGUGUGUGUGUUUGAGGGCCGCCGUAACAAAGGGCCACAGACCGAGUGGCUGAGACGACAGAAAUGGAUUGUCUCACAGUCUGGAGGCCAGGAGCCCGAGGUCACGGUGUGGGCAGGGCUGGUUCUGGGGGCUGCGAGGCCGACUCCGCCCCAGGCCUCUCCCCCAGCUUCUGGGGGUUUGAUGUCAGUCUUUGAGGUUCCUUGGCUUGUAGAAGCACCACCCCAAUCCCUGCCUCUGUCUUCCCAUGGUGUUCUCUCUGUGUGUGUGUGUGUCCUAAUUUCUUCUCCAGUCGUGGAUUAGGGGCCCACCCUCCUCCGGUGUGGCCUCAUCUUAACUAAUUGCAUCUACAAUGACCCUAUGUCCAAGUAAGGCCACAUUCUGAGAUCCUGGGGGUUGGGACUGCAGCAUAUGAAUUUAGGGGGAACACAAUUCAGCUCAGGAUAGUAAAUAUUUAUUCACGCACCCAGUAAAUGUUUCCUGAGCAUCUCUUAUGUGAAACUAUGGUAUGAGGUGUGGAGAUUUAAAUAAACAUGAAUAAAGUAUUUCCUGUUCCA